rnacentral:sRNA from 1 species
GCCUGGCUCCCGUGAGCCCCCGACCCUCUCAUGACCUCUGGACACUGGUUCCUGGUUGCAGACCUGAGGCAGAGCUGCGAAGUCCUGCCUCCCAGCCUGCCUCACCCUUCAGGCUCCUCUUCCAGCCGUGCUGGGAUUUCUCCCUAGCUGGGGGUCUUGGGCAGGGGGGUGUGCUUCCCUGGUUCUCUCCCACCCCGGUCCCGCUCUGCCUCAGGUGGUGUCUCCGCUGACGGAGGCUGUGCUCGGGGAGACGCUGCUGACGGUGACUGAGGAGAAGGUCAGCAUCACACAGCUUCAGGCCCAGGUGGUGGCCAGCCUGGCCCUCUCCCUGCGGCCCAGCCCUGGGAGCAGCCACACCAUCCUAGCCACCACAGCUGCCCAGCAGACCUUGAGCUUCCUCAAGCAGGAAGCCCUACUGAGCCUCUGGCUCUCCUACAGUGAUGGCACCACAGCCCCACUCUCCCUCUACAGCCCCCGAGACUAUGGACUGCUAGUGAGCAGCCUGGAUGAGCAUGUGGCCACUGUGACCCAGGACCGGGCCUUCCCUCUGGUAGUGGCUGAGGCCGAGGGGUCAGGGGAGCUGCUUCGCGCAGAGCUAACCAUCGCUGAGAGCUGCCAGAAAACCAAACGCAAGAGUGUGCUCGCCACGACCCCUGUGGGCCUGCGGGUGCACUUUGGGAGGGACGAGGAGGACCCCACUUAUGACUACCCGGGCCCCAGCCAACCAGGGCCCGGC